UGCAUCCAUAUCACGUGGAAACACUGGUUCUCAUCCGAUAUCUAAAGUUAAGCAGCGUUGAACCUGGUCAGUAUGUAGAUCGGUGACUGCUGGGAAUACCAGGUGCUGUAA